rnacentral:rRNA from 1 species
UUACGGUCAAAUCACGCUGAAACACCGGUUCUCGUACGAUCACCGAAGUUAAGCAGCGUAGAGCCAGGUCAGUACUUAGAUGGGGGACUGCUUGGUAACACCUGGUACUGUAAG